ensembl:lncRNA
ACAGACCCUGGCGCUGCCACCUCCGGCACGUUUCUCGUCAUCCCUGUUCUUACAGAUGUUUUUUUCUUCUUUCGGAGGCGGCACAAACAACUACUUGAAAACUACCAGCGACUUUGAUCAAGAAGAGGGGCUGGCGUGGCUGACCGGGCAGUCAUGGCAAUGCAGGCUUCUCCCGGGUUUUCCUUCCAGCGGCACGAGCCCAUGAUGGGGAAGGCAGACCCACAGCCCGGGAGGUGCGGGGCGCCCGCCGGCAUAACCUUCGCGGCAACUCAGGCACCGCGCUGAAAAUCUGUGUGUGCUGUUUUAGGAGUAUCCCCCUCACACCGUUUCCCCAGAAUAUCAAUUGUUAACGCUUGUGUGAAAGGAGAACAAGGCUGGAGGCGGGGGAGCCUGCCUAGUAUUACUGCGGUACAUGCCCGCUGUCCGGCGUGCCCGGCGUUGGGCAGCCUGGCCUCUCGGAUGUUUCAGGAGUUUCUCUCCUCUCCAGCUAGCCAUUUGCGUUACAUUGCUUUCCAGGCCAUGGUGGGAGGAUGGCAGAGAUGGCAGACGGGUCAGGCUACCAGCCAACACAGGGACCAUGAGACAGGAGCAAGCAGACUGAGUGACGUGCCGGUGAGAGAUUUGGCACAGCAAAAGAGUGAAAGCCUAUUAAUUACCGAACUCACAGCACCAGCAGAAGCGACUGCCCAUUCUCCUGUUCUUCAGUCCCAUUUGGCUGAUGGAAAAUCUGGGUAAAAUGUGUUGUCCAGGUGUGGCCUCAAGACACCACUUUUGGAGCAACUCCCUUCAACUGGAACUCAGACCUUGUUGCUGCCAGUCAUGGCCUGGCAGGAGCGUUACUUCUGAACAACAGCAGCAGUGUUUCAAGGAAAUGACUAACCUCUUCUUUUUCCAGAGGAUCCCUACUACCACUGGUAUGUAGGAUGGAAGAUAUGUAGUCUGAGGAUAUACUGAGACUGUGUAGUCUAUCUUGUUAGUUAGAAAAGAAAGCAAACGAGGAUUCUAGGAAGAAAAAAGGGCAAUGUAUUAAAAUAAUUAAAUGCCAUCCCAGACUCCAACAGACUCCUUGUCUCUGAGCAAUUAUGAAUAAUACUGGGUACAUGGGAUGAAAUUUAAUUUAGACUGCAGUUUCAUAGUCACUUCAAGCUAAUCUAAGUUGGCACAGAUUAUGAAAAGAGGAACCGUGCCUGCCUGUUUGUCCCUAACAAAGCCAUUCCCUCUUUUUUUCCCCCUCUUACCACCACAGCUUCACACACAGAGCAGCUUUAUUUGUCUGUGCAUGGCAUGCAGAGGGGCAGGCAGUGUGCCAAGAGGGACAAGCCCGCUGCUCCCAGAAAUACUUUCAGUCUCCCCAUGCCCUCUUCUUGGUUACAGCCAUCCUGAUUACAACAGGCAAAAAACCCCAAUGGACAACAGGGAAAGGUUUUGCUAACCCAGAUAAGUUUCCUGUUUUGGGGUGGGGUGGGGUGGGAUAGGAGGGUGGUGCAGUUAUGUCUUCAAGCUGUGAUGACAGUACAGCAACAUACCUUGAGUACUGUGAAACAAGGGAGCAGUAAAGAUACUUGGACUAGAAAUGCCCUGGAGUAGGCACUAAUUCUGGCAUUUCCUAGCUUAACACUGUUUUAUAUUAUUGGUGUGUAACAUAUUAACUUCUAGAGGUCACAGCCCAUCAGCCCUGAUUCACUGGUGACUUGUCCGGAUAAAUACAGGCAAGCGCAAUGCUGUCUAUUCUAGACAUGGA